rnacentral:misc_RNA from 1 species
CUCUCUCCCUCUCUCUCUCUCUCUCUCUCUCUCAUCUAAUGUCAGCCACGCUUUCACCACACAGGAACACCGACAAGAGUAAUUUGCGAUAUCUACGUGAAUAGUUUCGAUUCUAUCUCGGUUGAUAACAUGGCAAGUUAUUUUUCAUUUCUUGAUAUCCUUAUCUGUGUAAAGAAAGAGAGUUAUUAAUUUCAAAUAUUUAUACAUCAAGAUAAAUUCAAAGUAACUGGCUUCUUUUUCCUUUUUUCUCUCUACAUACUGCUCAAUUAUUCUUUCUUUCUCAAAGUUAAUUCACUGUUUGCUCUGUAAGGUUUUAAAUAAUUGAUGAAUAAAAACUGAACAAAGGACCAUUUAUCAGCAUUUUUUAUCAGGGAAAUGGUUAAUGAUGGUGAAUAGUAUAAAAAUAACUCUAACAAAGAAGUUAAAGUACCAAUUAUAUAUAAAUAUUGAAAUUCUGAGUAUACUACAUUAUAUAUUAAGAGCAGUGCAAGCAAAUUAAUACUGGUUCCAUAUCAACUCUGUCGAUAUUUUGUUAUAUUAUACAGCAUAUAGUGUAUAAAAAAGUAUCCUUAUAAGUUACAGUUACAAACUAACAUGUCAGUAAUGAUAAAAGGUAAUAGGAAACAAAAAAAGAGAGAAAGUUAAAUUAAAUAUUACUCAAAUAUCUUUCAAUAUUUCUUAUUUUAUAUUUUACUUUAGGAUUUCAUUGUUAAUGUUCAUCUGAGACAAAGUUGGGAAGAUCCACGAUUGAAGUUUUCAUCCAGGGGUUUAAAUGUUACAAAAAUGUCUUUAAAUAGUCAUUUAUUGGGUAAUAUUUGGGUACCAGAUCUUUUUUUCCCGAACGAAAAGGAAAGUAAUUCACACUGCGUAACUGUUCCUAAUCGACUUAUAAGAAUCUAUGAGAACGGAACUGUUUUAUACGCUUCAAGGUUUACUUUAAAAAAUUCUUGUCAUAUGGAUUUACAAUACUUCCCAUUCGAUAAUCAAAAGUGCUAUUUAAAGUUGGAAAGCUGUAAGUACAUAUAUGUUUACAGAUAGGCCUAUUGGAAUGUUAAAUAAUUGCAGAAGCCUGUAAACUAUUUUAGCUAAAGUAAAACUCUUCUUUAGAUAAAUACAGCCUAUCUAGAGUAUAGAAACUAUAUAUAUUUAUAUUAUUUAACAAUAUAUAAUCCUUUCUAUUUUUAUUCAUUAGUUGGAUAUUCUUCUGAAGAACUUCAAUUCCAUUGGCGAGAUUCUAAUCCGGUACAGAUGAACACAGAUCUAGAAUUACCUCAAUUUGACUUAAUUAGCUAUUCUACCGAUGAAUGCCACAAGUCUUAUAUAACGGGUGAUUUCACUUGCUUACGAGUAAAAUUUAAUCUAAGACGUCAUUUUGGAUACUAUUUGAUACAAAACUUCAUUCCAUCUUGUCUUAUUGUUGUCCUCUCGUGGGUAUCAUUUUGGAUUAAUAUCGAUGCUGUUCCUGCCAGAAUUUCAGUUGGAACACAGAGCGUUGGAGUUUGGAUGUCUCUUCCAAGAGUAUCCUAUGUCAAAGCUAUUGAUAUUUGGAUGUCUACCUGCGUUAUGUUUGUCUUUAUGGCUAUGCUAGAAUUUGCAGUUGUCAAUACACUGGCAAGAAAGGAAAUAAGAAAACUAAGCAAAAGAGCGUAUGAUACCUACAAAAGAGAAAAUAUUCCUAACGACUUGAUCAAAAGAUUAUUGGACGAGUAUGCUUAUGCCGCUUCUCAACAACGUAUUAUCAAUGGUGACAUAUCAGCUAAGGGUAGGCAUCCUUGGCAAGUAUCUUUACAAAGGAGAAACGACGAAGGAGAAUUUAGGCAUUCUUGUGGAGCGUCUGUAAUAACGAACCGAUGGAUUUUAACUGCAGCUCAUUGUGUCAUGCUUAACGAACAUCCUGGAAACUAUUCUGUGAAGAUAGGAAUGUUUAACAGAACCGCUAAUGAUUUUGAGCAGUGGCUUGCUGUAGAAAAAAUAAUUGAGCACGAAAACUUUACUUUAACCUUCCUUACUGGCUUACCAGACGAUAUUGCUCUAAUUAAAACGACUGAAGAUAUUGAUCUCGGAAACGAAUUCAUAUCUUCAAUUCAACUAGCCGAACCAGGAAGUUCCUGGGUUAACAACAGUAAUUGUUAUAUAUCAGGCUGGGGAAGAGAUGACAGAGAGACGUAUAUACCAGCUCCAGUACUUCGAGAGAAAAACAUUCCAGUAUUAUCUAAUAAAGAGUGUUCCAGAAGAUACGAUGAAUCUAUAAUUGGACAGGUAAUUCCAAUUUUACCAGCACACGUUUGCAUGGGAGGUGACGACUUAGAUCCGGAUGUCCACGCUUGUCACGGUGACUCUGGAGGUCCUCUUUCCUGCGAAAGAAACGGUGAAUGGUUUCUAGUUGGUGUUGCUAGCCGUACGGGUUCCCCUGAUUGUUCCGAUUUGCCUUCCGUUUACAUCAGAGUUCCCCACCAUUACAAAUGGAUUUUAGAAACAAUGGCAGAGAAUUAA